UACGUAGGGGGCAAGCGUUGUCCGGAAUCAUUGGGCGUAAAGAGCGUGUAGGCGGCUCGGUAAGUCCGCUGUGAAAGUCCAGGGCUCAACCCUGGAAUGCCGGUGGAAACUGUCGAGCUAGAGUCCGGAAGAGGAAAGUGGAAUUCCUGGUGUAGCGGUGAAAUGCGCAGAUAUCAGGAGGAACACCAAUGGCGAAAGCAGCUUUCUGGGACGGUACUGACGCUGAGACGCGAAAGCGUGGGGAGCGAACAGG
rnacentral:rRNA from 1 species